CUUAAAUUUCUGAUUUGAGACUUUUUUUUUCUAAUAUAAGCAUUUAAUGCUGUAAAUUUCCCUCUGAAUACUACUUUAGCUGCAUCCCACAGAUUUUGAUAUGUUGUACUUUUAUUCAGUUCAAAACGUCUGCUAAUUUCCCUUGAGACUUACUUUUUGGUUGAUGGGUUAUUUAGAAGUGUAUUGAUUAAUUUCCAAGUACUUGAAGACUUUCCUGUUAUCUUUCUGUUGUCGAUUUCUUGUUUAAUUCCAUUAUAGUCAGAAAAAUGCUUUGUAUGAUUUUAAUUUUUAAAAUUUGUAAUGUUUGUUUUAUUAUCCAGAAUAUGGUGUAUCUUGAGGAAUGUUCCACGUGCACUUGAAAAGAAUAUUCUCUUGUUGGGUGGCAUGUUCUAUAGAGUCCCUAGUUAGAUCCUUUGCCUAAGGAUCCUUUGCCUGAUGAUGUUGUUCAGUUCUUCUGUAGCCUUGCUGAGUUUUUCUGUACUACUUGUAUGUAUUACUGAGAGGGGAGUGUUGAUGUCUCCAAUUAUUAGCAUGGACUUGUCGAUUUCUUCUUUCCAUUCUGUCAGUUUUUGCUUUAUAUAUUUUGAAGUCCUGUUGUUGGGUACAUACUCACUUAAGAAUGUUGUGGGGUUUUUUGUGAAUUGGCCCUUUUAUUAUUAUGUGAUAUCCCUCUUUAUCCCUUAGAACUACACCGCCAGCUUUUCUGGGUCUCCAGCUUGCAGAUGGCAGAUUGUGGGACUUCUCAGUCUCCAUAAUUGCAUGAGCCAAUACUUUAUAAUAAAUCUCUUACUAGAUUAGAGAAAGAGAGAGAGAAAAAUCUCCUCUUGGUUCUGUUUCUCUAGAGAACAAUACGAUAUUCUAUUUCUUUGCUAAGGAUUUCUGUUUUUCUGUUCGCUUCAGGAGUGUUCCUGAUUGCUUGCCAUAAGAUAAUCCCAAUAUCUCUGUCCUGUACGCAUUGACAUUGAUUCAUUUUCUUUUCCCAUGUGAUUUUCCUGGUCCUUUGUUUUUUAAUUUUGGAUUGUAUUCUGGACAUUUUUAAUAUUAUAAGACUUUGGGUCUUGUUGAAAUCCUGUGGAGAAUGUUGAUACUUUUGUUCUAGCAGUCAGUUGAAUUGAUUGGGUUCAGGUCACAAGUUCCAGUCUUUCUUCUGUAGGUUGUAGUUCCAAUGUCAGUUCCAAUUGAGUUUUCAAUGUCUUCGCAGUGCUGUUUGGAUCUAUCCCAUAUGUGUGCCACCUAGUGGUCAGUCUUGGAGCUGGGUAGUGACAUAUCAUUAGUUCGGUUCUUAAAAUCUUUGUCAUGCUAAGUAGGAUGGGAUCUACACAUGUACAGCUUAGGGUGGACCCAAGAGUUCAUAAAUAACUUCAUGAGGUUGCUUUUCUCAGUUCUUUCCUCUCCACAAUCUUUCUGGUUCUUUUCAGUUCCUUAGAGUUCCUCAUUUUGAUCUUCCAGCUCAAUAUUAGCCUGCUCUGCUGUAGACUUCUGCAAAGUCAUCUGCAUCCACGAUUAAUCAGCAGGACAGGGGGGAAAAACCGUGGAGGUUGGAUCACCCUGUUAUGGCAGCACCCUGAACAGGGAGCACAUUUUUACUCCUUCAGGGUUUUGGCUUGUGCAGCCUCCUGUUUCUGGCUGUGUCUCAUCGCCAUGGGAUUACUUAAGGGUUGGAGUGUGAGAGAACAGAGAAUAGAGGAAAAAAGGGGGGGGCAGAUUUACAUACUCUUGCUGAGUCUUAUAUAUUUAUUUUCCUGCUUUUGCACCAGAACUAAUGGGCUUCUUUCUACUUGCCCUCUAUGCCCACUUACAGUUCACUCGGGGAUACCAGAGGGAAAGAAAGCGGUAUACUUACGAUGGGUUUGUUUGGACUUGAAUUCUGAUCUUCUGCCCCCAUCCACUUUCUGUUAUUUACUUUUCAGAUUUCUCAAAUAGCUGCUCCAUGCAUUCUGUCCAGCUUUGAUAGCUAUAUUCGGUGGAAGAGACACUCCCAUUCUAUUUUUCUCAGAAGUGGGUCCCCAUUCCUCUUUUUGAAGGGCAGUAUCUAUUGCCGUUAUCCAUCUCCGUCUCACCAUUAUAUAUUGGGUUAAUGGGAGCAGAUAACUUGUCUUUCUCAGAUGUGUAGAUAAAGGAGAGCUACAUCUGAGGAUCCUCAGUCACACCUGGACCUGAUGCCAAUCAUGAAAUUAUGGCCUCUAAGCCCAAUGCCAUGACUGGAUGAGACUUUGGAGUCUUGAGAGAGAGUAAAUGCAUUUUGAUGAUGGAAGGAACAUGAAUUACUGGGGCUGUGGCAGCCAUGAAAAUGCACUACUCGGAGCUUCUGCUGUGGGGAGGCAGUUGAAGGGUGGCUCUGGCUAUUGCCCCUUUGGAUCCUCCACUGCUUUCAUGCUGAAGCCAUGCUUCUCAAGCCAACUGUGGGAGCACUAACAGAGGCCCUUCCAGUGAGCCUCAGGACACCUCUGAUGGCCACGUUGGCUUAAAGACUCCCUGCUGGACUGGAUGAACCUUUCUUAGAACUGCCUUGCAGUCUGAGACUCCUCCUCCUCCUUCAACUUCUUACUUCUUUCACAGUGUCAGACCUGCGUCACAACCUGAAGGUGCUCCAUGUCUUCCCUGGCUGUCCUCCCCCUCUAUCUUUCACAGACAUUUUCUCUAAUUAAUCUAAUGCCCAUGUAAUCCUAGCUUGAAAACUGUUUAUUGGAGGACAAAACAUAACCCUGGGCCCAAGGACAAACUGUGGUAGAUUGUUAUAUUAAUGAGCCUGAUGUAUCAUGCCUCUCAGUAUCUACUCUCCUGUGUAUUCCUCACUGUAUCAGUUAGGGUUCUUCAGAGGAACAGACCAAAAGGAUGUAUAUAAAGAGAUUUAUUUUAAGGAAUUUGCUCAUGCCAUUAUAGGGGCUGGCAAAGCUGGAAACUUAGACAGGGCUUCCUGCUGCUAUCUUGAGGCAAAAUUUCUUAUUUUCUGGGAAACCUCAGUUUUUGCUCUUAAGGCCUUUGACUGGUUGAUGAGGGCCACACAUGAUAUCAAGGGUAAUCUCUUUUACUUAAAGUCAAUUGAUUAUAGAUGGUUAUCACACCUACAAAAUACCUUCAUCAACACCUAGGUUUGUGUUUGAUUAAAUAACUGAGAACUGUAUUCUAGCCAAGUCGACACAUAAAACAAACCAUCACACCCACAUUGACUUUGGGCUGGGCCAUGUGGCUUGCUUUGGCCCAUGGGUCAGCAACAGACAUACGAUGAUCAUCUGUACAAUGAGUCUUGCCCUCUUGGAAUACCACCACCAUUGUUAAAGGAAUCUAGCCUUCUUGAACAUUAAGGAUGACAUGCAGAGAGAUCCAACUGUCCCAACUAAGUCCAACCCCUAGCCCACCUAUCAGCUUAUUGUGGUCACCUGGUUGAGCCCACACAAGUCAAGCAGCAGAACCACCUCAGACUAAUCACAGAAUUGUGAGAAAUAAUAAAUAGUUGUCACUGUGUUCAGACAUUAUGUUUUUGAGUGGUCUGUUAUCAGCAAUAGGUAGUCAAUGAUGUCUCCUUGACAAUGUUGAGAAGAACCACAAAUAUAAUAUAAAAACAAAUAUAUUAUGUAUUUCCCAAAAUAUUUAUCUCCGGUGAGUGUUUAAUAAGACUUUAUCUUAUUUAAAAUUUACAAAGAUGAAUCCAUAGCCAGACUACACUCUGGAUGUAUGUCUUUUAGCCGUGCAUGUGAGUGUGUGUGUGUGUGUGUGUGUAUGUGUGUGCAUGCUCUUGGAAAGCUUUAUACAGAAAUGUCCUAAGAGAGUUUUGAGUAACUCUAACCAUUUUUUUAGGUUCUUGUCCCUGGAAAAAUUAUACUUACCUCAAAAUGAAUUUCACUUAUUGUAUUUCAGAGAACCAAGGGUUUAAAAGUAUCUUUUAAAACAACUCACAAGACCCAGCCUAAAGAGGUUGGCUCGAAUUAUUUUUAAUGUCCUUUCCAUGUGCUAUAUGACAGUAGAUUUUACAGCUUGUGAGAAUCUGGGUAAGGAAAAUUUACCUAGCAAGGUUUAAAAGGGAAAGUUUCUCACUAAGAAAAUUCCAAUUACUAAAGUCAAAAUUUUUUACUUAAUUUAGCAUUUAAUUAGUAGAGAGAAAGAGCUGCUCCAGGAAUCCUUGGCUUCUAAUAUUGAGAUUCCAUAGAAAACGGUAUACUACGUUCUAGAGCAACUAGCAUUACUGGAACUCAUCUCGCCUGUGAGUUGAGCAGUCGCAGCUGUUUGUAGCCCCAUUUCCAGAAGACAACCUUCAGCACACUCUUGUCCGAGAAUUCCUACUGAGCCACCAACUUGAAUAUACACAUACUACAAACUUCUUUGAUAUUCCAUUUAAGUUCUAUGGUUUUUAAACAAGUUAUUUAAUUUGUCAACUAAUCUGAAAGAUAUUUGCAGGUAUGAUUAGCAGUUUUGGGGAUUACCUGCACUUUGAAGAAGUCAAGAAAUCCACAAUUGUCUGACAGCCCUGGAGAUUUUGCCUAUUGUGGUAGAUCUAUGGUGUGUGGUGCUCCAAUUGCUUCCCAUUUGGAGGGGCAUUCCAUUGUGAAGUGGAUCACACUCAUUAGUGCUUAUCAUAUUUCCCUUCCUCUACUUACUGCUAUAUGCCAAAAACAUGGCUGAAUCCAAGAUGGAAGUUAGACUACUCCAUUCUACUGUGGUCUAGCAUAUUAACUCUGCAAGGAUGACUUAAAUAUCUCUUCAGAUAUAAGUGUGGAUAAGAAUAAGUACAUCAUUAUCGAUCAUAUAUCUAUCCAGUGUUAACUCAGCAAUGAAAGAGAGCAGUGUCAGGGAUUUCCAAAGUAUAAAAAUCUGAAAGACCUUUACAUUUCUAUCUUUGGAUGCAAUUGGAUACAGCACAAUUAACCUCAGUGGGAAUGGAAGGGGCUAGAACAACCCACUGAAGUAGAGAGGUCAGUAAAAGGAGAGGUGAACAGAGGGUUGAUCAAAUUUCCAGUAGGUAUACUAUACUAUUCUGAUAGGCUGGAAAUAAAUGUUUAGUCCACUCGUGUUGUGGUGCAGGUUGGAAGGAGCAUCAGUAUUAUUGCAGAUAGGCAGAGACCAGUGACGGGAGUCCAGGAACAGAUUGGAAGACAGUUGGCUUCAUGGAAUUCUGCUGGCAAGAAGCAGAUCCCCAAAUGCUGAGGUAAGGUUCAGAGAUGGGCUAGCAGCAGUUAAGGUAGCAAAGAUUCAUUGGAGGUUAUGUAGACGGUGUCCUGCUAAAAGAAGACAGGAAGAGGAGUUUAGUACUUCACAUUCAACAGAUGUCAUAUCAGACUUGAGUCUCUCUGACCGUCGUUAGCCUGGGCCAUGCCAGAUUUCACAGUUCUCUGGGGCCUGAUUCGUCCUAAGAACUUGCCCACAUAUAGACCACAGUGUCUGGACUGUUGUCAGAGCAUGCAGCGGUCAGAUGUGGCAGAUAUUGCAGUUGUUGCAACUGACACCUUCCAAGAGUUGAUUCUGUUGGCUCCUGGACUCCCACAGCAUCCAUCUGAAUCAUACAUGCUCAAUCAAUGUCCAUGGUGUAAGUUUUCCAAAUGGCUAAAUACUCCACCAUAUUUUCACCCCUAUCAUGCUCCAAACCUCCUUGUUCCUAAUGUAGCCCUUACUGCUCACCAUCAGCCACCAACCGGCCCUGCAGUCCACUGCCCUAACCCUUCUCCUGUAUCUUCUGAAAUUGCCCCUCUGUUUUCAGCAAGCUCUCUGAUGGCUCCCAGUUUUUUCUGAGCGUGUGCUUCACCUUCCAGCUUAGCUGAAAUAUGUCUCAAGUGGUGGAUGCUUUUCCUUUCAUGUCUCACAAACCUCAGGGUCAGAAGGUGGGAUGGGUGCCAAGGAAUGCAAGGUUGGUUUAACAUUUGAAAAUCGAUGUAAUUCACUGUGUUAACAAAGUAAAAAAGAAAAAUGAUAUGAUCCUCUCAAUAGACAAAGAAAAAGGAUUUGACAAAAUUCAACAUCAAUAUCUGAUAAUUUCUUGGCAAACUAGAAAUAGAAAGGGAUUUUCUCAACCUGAUAUAGACCAUAAGCAAAAAUCAAUAGCUAGCAUCAUAUUCAUGGUGAAAGACAGAAGACUUUUCCCCUGAGGUCAGAAUAAGACAGAAUGUCUGCUUUUACCAUUUCUAUUUGACAUUGUACUGGAGGUUCCACUCUGUUGUUCACAGACAGCAUGAUCAUCUAUGUAGAAAAUCUGAUGGAAUCUAUAAAAAGCAUCUCACUAAUAAGUGCAUUUAACAAGGUUGUAGGAUACAAGAUGAUUGUACAAAAAUCAAUUCUAGGGGCCAGCCUCCUGGCAUGGUGGUUGGGUUUGUGUGCUUAGCUAUGGUAGCCUGAGGUGUGCAGGUUCAGAUCCUGGGCACAGACCUACAUACCACUCAUCAAGCCGUGCUGUGGUGGCAUUCCACAUGCAAAGUAGAGGAAGAUUGGCAACAGAUGUUAGUUCAGGGCCAAUCUUCCUCACCAAAAGAAAGGAAAAAAAAGAAAAAUCAAUUCUAUUUCCAUAUAUCAAGAAUGAAUAAUCAGAAAUUAAAAUAAAACAAAACAAAAAGAUUUAAAAGAGCAUCAAAAAUUCAAAAUACUUUGGUAUAAAUCUAAUAAAAGAUGUGCAAGAUCUGAAAACUACACAAAAUAUUACUGAGAGAAAUUUAAAAGAGUGAAAUAAAAGAAGAAGUAAGCUUUGUUCAUGGUUUGAAAGACGAUAUUGCUAAAAUGACAAUUCCUCCCAAACUGAUCUGUAGAUUCAACACAAUCCAGACAAAAAUUUUAGUAGGCUCUUUUUUAGAAGUCAAUAAUGUGAUUCUAAAAUUCAUAUAAAAUGCAAACGAUCAAGAAUAGCUGACACAAUUUUGAAAAAGAAGAAUAAAAUAGAGGACUUACACUACCUAAUAUUAAGCUGUAGUAGUCAAGACAAUACAGUAUUAACAUAAGAAUUAGAUCCACCCAGUCCAGAUAGACCCACACAUACAGGGACAAUUGAUUUUGAUAAAGGUACUAAAGAACUCAGUGGAGAGACGGUUGUCUUUUCACCAAAUGGUGCUGGAACAAUUGGAUAUCCAUGGAGACUCAUGCGUAGGCCAGCUCAACGGUGGAGUGAUCCUGCUGUGCUGUAUUGGUGAUUGAAAGGCAUGAGCAGGCACGGCCUGGCGGUGCAGCAGUUAAGUGCGCACGUUCUGCUUUGGCCGCCCGGGUUCACGGGUUUGGAUCCCAGGUGUGGACAUGGCACCGAUUGGCAAGCCAUGCUGUGGCAGGCGUCCCACAUAUAAAGUAGAGGAAGAUGGGCACGGAUGUUAGCUCAGAGCCAGCCUUCUUCAGCAAAAAGAGGAGGAUUGGCGGCAGAUGUUAGCUCAAGGCUAAUCUUCCUCAAAACAAAAGCAAAAACAAAAAAAAUCUUAGAAAAAAAGAAAGGCAUGAGCAGCACUGCCAUCUUCAAUAUGAGGUUGAGAAAUGGUAAGACCUCUUGGAAAAUUUCUGAACGAAUAAAGAGCAAAACAAAAGAAGCAAUCAUAUCUCAAAUGGUAGUUAUGCUUCUAGAAAAUUCAGUAUCUAUUAAAACUAUGCAAAAUGAGAUAUGUUUGUAUAUAAGAUGAAAUUAGGCUCAGAUCAUUAGAAUUGUGGUUGGUGCGUAAUGUAUGUUCAAUAAGGAGUUAUUGAACAGACUAAAUAAGGGCUGCUUUCUGACUUUAUCCCCUUGCCACAUCCCUUUCACUUUUAACUUUAAAGUUUCUCAAAGCCUUUGAAAGAAAAGGGUGAAAUGCUUUAAAUCUCACUCAUUUACUCAGGGGUAUUUUUCCUCUGGGAAACUCAACUAAAUGUCCAGUUCUCCAGACUUAUUUUUCCUGUAAUGUAUAAGCUGUAGGAGCAACGAUCGCUGAUCCUGAGCUGUAGCUCAGGGUUAAUCUCCCUGCGGGAAAGCCUGCCCUGUCCUCUGCAGAGACACACUGUUUCUCUCUUCCGCUUAAAGACAGCACAUUUCAACAUAACAGGAAAGCUUCUUAAGACUGAGAUGUACAGCCUUAUGAAAUCUGAUUUAUUGGUUUUCAUCAUAAUUAAUCUGCUCACGUGUUGUCCGGAGCUUGUCCUCGGCCUUUUCCUGCUACAAGCUCGUGGUCAGUUGCAAUCUGAUCAGCUGCCCACUGUAGGGAGUCGGCCAGAAUCAUUAGCAAACCUCGGUGUGUUUCAAAUAAAAUUUCCCCUUGAAUAUCUGUAUCAGCUCGCAUAUUAACUAUAAUUAUUUUGAUCACCUUAUUCCCUAUCCUGAAAAAUCUUUGAGGACUAGUUUCACUAUUUCUUUGCCAUUUCAGUACAACUGCCAGACUCGAUCAAACAAAAUGCACAAAAAUCCUGAGAAAUAAGUUUUACCAUUGAGGAGUACAUUUGUUGCGUCUUAUGGGGGCACCACCAAUUCUUACAAUACCACAAACGCCUAGCUAAAACCCAAAGGCUCCCCACAGCAUGAAGUCCUCCACACUCAGGGCAUAAGAUCGUGUGGAGGGCUCUGGGUAUACACUCUGGCAAUAGUGAACAUUGACACAGGGCUGCAAAGCAAAACAUCUUCAUUUAUUUUUUAUAAACCUUCCAUUUUCUGACAAGGAUUUAGAUGGCUUAGGAAGGAUUUCAAAUGUGGAAAUGUUUGAUGGGAGUUAGUUAAGAGUAUUAAGUGACUGGAAACCACAAAAAGCCUGGGAUGGACAAUAAUUCUCCAUGCAUCAUCUGCUGGAUGAUGUGGGAUUUUCUUGUUUCAAAAACAUAAAAAUAAAAAGGUCCCAUUCUAAGAGGCUUCACAGCAGAGAACGAACUCCCAUUAUUCUCCUCCAUGUAUCCAUUUUUAAUUUCCACUAAUGUUUUUAUAUUAUUUGGUCAAUCAGUUGUCAGUUUCUUUUAAAAGUAAAACAAUCUACAUGCUUCUGAUUCUGAUGGGUACACAACUCAAUAUUUACAUGUAAAUUGGUCCAAACUAGUAGAUUUGCAUUUUACACAUUACUGAAGAGAAUGGAACUAAAUUAGGUCUCCCUUUUGUGUGCUUCACAGCUUGUCUCUUUACUAAAUCACUGUUUUUGCCCCUUGCUUAUGUGUCAUUAUUUCUGCCAUCUUCAGUGUUUCUCUGCAACCCACAGAGAGACAUUUAUUCUAGCUUUGAUAAGGUACAGGAAGUGGAACUUGUUGGUCAACACUUCAGACAAAACAGAUGGGGAAGAAAAGAAGUGUGUGACAUGAGACAUGCAGAAAUUUGGGUGUCUACAAUUAAUCAUAGUUCACAGCUGACAAAAAAAUGACAGUAAUUGAUGUGACCCUUUGAGAAACAAUCUGGAACUUCAGCACCCUGGGAAAUCUUGUUCAUUUUUGCUCAGCUACUACUGAAUUAAUGUGUGUUGUAAAUUGCUACUCAGAGGGACACUUCAUAAAGUCAGAGUUUCUGGAACAAUUCCCACACCAUGAGACAUCCUAAAAAAUCAUCCAUUUUUCUGACUUCUCACCAUUCAGUGUUGUGUCACCCACUGUAACAAGCACAGUCCUCAGAUAAAAGAUGAACAUGCCAAUUUAUGUGCUCUGCGUUUUGCAGAUGUCAAUAGCCUUCGUAACUCAAUCAGACCUCCAGGAAGUUUAUUUGUUAGCUUGAAAUGUUAUCUGUUUUGGUAGAACGCAAUGGUGUAUGAUCUCCUUCACUGGCUCUGCAGCUGUAGGGGGACAUGCAGCCCCACUCUUGCAGAUGUAGCCUCAGUGUAAGUGGCCUCACCCCAAAGACCAUGUAACUAUUGGACGGGCAUUUUUCUUCUUGUAAAGGGUGGAAGCUUACAUGUAGAGAACACGCUUCCAAGUUCCACACCUGAAUAAGGCAAAGGUCCCUCGUAAUGCAGUACUACACAGAUCUCCAGAGCAACACAAAUGUAAGAAACGUGGUCUACUGCGGAUGCAAGACAUAGAUUACAAUUUCUAUCCAUAGUUGAUUCUCAACUGUAAAAAAGAAUAAGCCUAGUUAAUUUUCAAAAGAGAAAUUGGCACUGGUCUCCUUACUUAGUCCAUAUAUCAGAAGGUCACAUGUUACGUAAAGUGAGUGAGAGAUCCACAAGGUGGAGAGGUCAACCCUGCAUCCUCAGCUCACACAUCUGCUUUCAGCAUAUUACCAGGCAUCGUAGGUAAACGGAUUGAUGGAUUGUUAUCUAGUUUUGAUUACUGUACCUCACAAAAUAAACACAUGCCUGUAAAAAAUCUCUAUAAAUAAAUAGUACAUUAACAGUAAUACCAAAAAUGCUAGUAAAAGCAAUCGACGAGGAAAUAGUAAUGCUGACACCUAUUCCUAUUAUCAUCUCUUUGUCAACCACACUACAAGAUAAGAAUGAUGAUUAUCUAAUUAGAUCUUCUGAGAUGAUGGGCACAGCCAUUUGGAAUCAAGACUAUUUGAAACCAGGAUUUACAUCCCCUGUCAUUAACUAUAGUUAAUAAAUUAAAGCUUAAAUACUGUAUUUCAGAUUUAGCUCCUCUCUUUAAGAUAGAUUUGUAUAUUUUAUAAGGUGUAUAAUAUAUUAAUAUUGUAGGAUAUGUAUGUUUAUUGUGAAUGAAUGAAUAUUUAUUGAGUAUACAUAUUCAAAAAACUUAAGAGAUUGAGGGCACAUUCAAGUACGUGUAGACAAUUUUUUUCAUAUUCAAGGUAAAGUGUAGUCAAGUAUGAAGAAUUGGUGACAUUCUAAGUACUCAAGGUGUAUAGCUGUAUUUUUUUCGAUAAAAAUUUAAAUCUAACUGUAGUAAUUACAUGGUUUUUCUUUUUUUUCAACUUUGGAAACCUGAGAUGCUAUAAAAAGAGCCGUACAAGAGUCAUAGUCAGAUUGAACAAAGGUAUUCAUUAGUGGAAGUUCUUAACCUUAACUUAAUAACUUAUCUAAGAGUUGAGAGAAGACUUCCAUUUUCCUUGCAGAAACCUCAUACUAUCUUUGCCAAAACCAAGCCCCAAACAACAGCUAACAGAAUAUUAGAGACUUUUAAUGUGAACUUGGGAGGAUGUGAUCUAGGGGUGGAGUGAGAUACAUUACAGUGUGGUGCACACUGCACCACACUAUCAUCCUACCAUCAUCACUAGGAAAUGACAAUGCUGUCACCUGCAAGCACGCCAUAAAAUGAAGGUGAGUAAUAGCUGUACCCUCUAUUUUCUGGACACUUUCUAUGUGCUAAAGCUCAUUUUAUCCUCACAUCAGACAAGAAACUGGCCAUUAUUAUGUCCAUUAUACAGAGGAGGAAACUGGCUUAAAGUCUUAGAUAGAUUUCACAAGCUGAUAAAUGUCGGCUGUGAUAUUGGCAUCCAUAUUAGAAAUUUGAUUCCAUUAGAAGCAGAAUCAGAUGUGAAAUUCAGAGAAGCAAAUAUUCCUUCAAUAUAUAAAGAGUUCAAAAGAAUUUGAUCUGCUAAAUAUUUGAACGGGAUGCUUCCAGAGAAUGACUUCUCUCUGGAGAUAAUGAUGGAGCAAUUUGGUAAUCUCUAUUCAACGAUUUUAUAGAGGAAGAUUCAGAUGUUGGCUAGGGCUUGCAAGUAGAUGCUGUCUUUCACUGUCGUCACUCUAUGAUACCACCACUUUAUCCCAGAAAACCUUUUUUGAGGCUUCAAAAUUUUCUGAAGCCAAGGGGGAUUAUGUUUAUUAUUAUCAUCACUCACCAAUACACCACAUCAUUUUUAAGAUAAGCAAUAAUAGUCUAAGCCUUAAAAUUGUAAUGGAUUUGCUAUUGCACAAUUUAAAGGGGUAUUUAUUUACUAUGUAAUUUUGACAAAAAAUGUCCACCGUUUCCUUCUCUUUAAAGCUCAGAAGUAGUUAUUGCCAUGAUAAUUGGUAAUAACUGUACCUAUAGAAGGUAAAUAAAUUUUUUAAGGGAUUGAAUGCGAUUCUGAGUUCUGUUUGUAUAAACAGCUCAUCCUAAAGUAGGCACUUUUUUUCAAGUGAUGAAGAUGCAGUUGUUAUGUUACAAAUUAUAAAACAAGAUUUUUGUACACACAUUUACGCAUAACAGUAUAGAUUUUUUACCUAUACCCACAUACAGGUAGAUAAAUAGAUAGAUAAUAUGUAUACACACACAUAUUCAAACAUAUAACACACGCCUUUAUAAAAUGAUAAGGACUGAACACUACCUGUCAAGAACUUUGAAGGAUCUGGAAUUUUAUUCUACUUAUGAGGUAACAAAUUAGCCUACCAGUUUCAUGGAUGCUCUGACCCAAGACUCCUGGGUCACAGACAAAAAAUAGCUUAUUACUCAUAGCAAUAGCAAUGGCUGGAGUAUCACCAUUUUUGCACUAAUUUCUGCCCCCCAAAUCAUAUGGGACAAUGUGAAGAAGGGCAGAUGACACCCGCAUGUGCACUAAGGUGUAUUACAAAUGAAGAACCCUGAGCUUAGGGAGCCCAAAUCUUUUAUAAUGGGCAGUAAGUCUGGCUGCCUUAGCGCCAGUGGGAGACAUUGUUUUUAUGAUACUGGACAGUAAUCAAACCUGCCCUUUCCUCUGGAGGGAACGCAAUUUCUCUCUUCCAAGGCUGUUUGCUAAAUUAAUAUCCUUGAAAAGAUAUUCCAGAACAAAAGGAAUCUGUGUCUCUGUUGGUAAGAGACACAGAUAUGCAGGAGACUUAUGGAGAAUUGUCUCCUAAGACCACCAGAAAUAUUUAGUCAGCAUUUGGUUUGAAAGGGGCGCAUGGCACAGUGCUCAGGAAAAUCAUCUGGUCUUCAAUCCUGUAAUGGCCAAACAGAACAUAAAGACAUGUCAAACGUAUGGACUUUUCCACAUCACCUUUCCUGGAAAGCACUUGUUUCCUAUUCAGGGGUCACUGACACAUUUGGCAGCAGAGAGCAGAGAGCGAUGCCGCUGGACUUGUGUCUGCAUCACUUGCUGCCUGGGAACUGUUCUGCCAACCUGCCUUCUGGGCUCCCGCAGAAGGAUUUUGGAGGAGGGCAGUUGUCAUCCAUGGCAAAUCACCAGACAAUAUUAACUAUGCCAGGAACAUUCAUCGAUUAAUAUUGAAUACUGCCAUAGUGUUUCUCUUGUCAAAGUUUGGCUGGAAGACUCCACCUUUGGACAGACUUAUUCCCAGGAGCACCUGUAUGUGGAGGACUCGAUGGAAACCCGGGAAAUCCAGAAACGAGACUUACGAGAUUUGUGGGAUUUCAAUGUGUGGAUCUUAAACGCAACAAAGAAGUGACAGGUCCCUAAGAGCCCCUCCAGAAAAACUGCUCUUUGAAUCUGAAAUUCACUUCGAAGUAUCAUGGCGGCUCCCCGACGCCGGUCCGGAGCACCCUGGCCUCAUGUGUGUGCCAUCAUCUCCUCCAUCCCACUUAAUCGGCACCCCCACCCCACCCCCGGGGGAACCACUCAGCCAACUUUCCAUGUUGCUGGAGUUCAGCGGGAUAAAGAACAAUUUUCCUGUUCUAAGAUCUUCUGUUGCAUCAGAGGUGGCCAACCACAACUAUUAAUUCUAGAGGGCAUUGAAAACGAG
ensembl:lncRNA